rnacentral:tRNA from 1 species
GGGCUCGUGGCGCAGACAGGUAGCGCAGCAGGCUUUUACUCGGGAACUGGCCGCGGGUUCAAAUCCCGCCGAGCCCGCCA